rnacentral:rRNA from 1 species
GUACACGCUGUGACUAGCAUAUCAAUAAGCGGAGGAAAAGAAACUAACAAGGAUUCCCCUAGUAACGGCGAGUGAGGCGGGAAGAGCUCAAAUUUGAAAUCUUAAAGGGUUUCCCUUUACGAAUUGUAGUUUAAAGAAGUGUUUUCUGUUGAGGUUUCGGUAAAAGUUCUUUGGAAUAGGACAUCAUAGAGGGUGAGAAUCCCGUAUUUGACCUUUACUUUCAACUUUGUGAUACACUUUCAAAGAGUCGGAUUGUUUGGGAAUGCAGUCCAAAAUGGGUGGUAAAUUUCAUCUAAAGCUAAAUAUUGGCGAGAGACCGAUAGCGAACAAGUACCGUGAGGGAAAGAUGAAAAGAACUUUGAAAAGAGAGUUAAACAGUACGUGAAAUUGUCAAAAGGGAAGCGUUUGACACCAGUGUUGUUUUUCUGAAAAUCAAUUAAAGAACUGUUUAUGCUAAGCUGUUUAGACUUUAUCAGCUAUCUGUUUAGUUUUGAGCUUUUCUUUAAUGCACUUUUCAGUUAACAAGUCAACAUCAAUUUCUUUUGCUGUAAAAAAGCUUGAGGAAGGUGGCUUGAGAUUCGUCUUAAGUGUUUAUAGCCUCUUGCCUAUGCAGUCGGAGAGAUUGAGGUCUGCAGCGUAGAUCCUUCGGGACUAAAUGCAUUUGUGCUAAGUUAUAGCAUUUUAUAGACAACUUGUUGACUAUGAUUUGUCUUGUAGCUUACUCGCUUAUGUUAUUUUACCUACGCUUAGGAUGUUGAAGAUGUAGCACAUCAU